rnacentral:lncRNA from 1 species
GCCACUGCCUCCCCUCAGGAUUUCGAGGAGCUUUCUGAGGCGGUGAGUCCAGGCGGGGAGGCGGCGCCGCCGCUAGUUCAACAGACGAACAGCUCUUGGCAGCCGGGUGAGGACCAUACAAAGCCGCCGGAAAAAGACGCGGCGACUGCGCCGCCGCCGGUUCAACAGACGAACAGCUCGUGGCUGGCGGCCGAGGACCUCACAGAGCCGCCAGAAAAAGACGCCGCGGCGGCGGCGCCGACGCCGGUUCAACAGACGAACAGCUCGUGGCUGGCGGCCGAGGACCUCACAGAGCCGCCGGAAGAAGACGCGGUGGCGGCGGCGCCGUCGCCGGUUCAACAGACGGAAAGCUCAUGGCAGUCGCCCGACGGCCUGACACUGCUGCCGGAGGAAAACUCGGGGGCGCCGCCACCGUCCACCGGCGUCAGCGCAGCU